GGGUUUUGAAGCUUGCUUUGAAACCCGGAAAGCGGCGUAAGGGAGAGUAACGCGUAGUUAUCUACCCCAAGGCCCGGAAUAUCUGCGGGAAACUGCAGGUAAUGCCGGAUAAUAUCCCCGGAUCAAAGGUGUGAUUCCGCCUUGGGAGGAGACUGCGUUGUACUAGCUUGUUGGUAGGGUAAUGGCCUACCAAGGCUACGAUGCAUAGCGGGCGUGAGAGCGUGGCCCGUCUCACUGGGACUGAAACACUGCCCAGACACCUACGGGUGGCUGCAGUCGAGAAUCUUCGGCAAUGGGCGAAAGCCUGACCGAGCGAUGCCGCGUGCGGGAUGAAGGCCCUCGGGUUGUAAACCGCUGUCGUAGAGGAGAAAGGUCUGAUGAAGAAUCAGAUUUGAUCUAUUCUAGGAGGAAGUCCGGGCUAAGUUCGUGCCAGCAGCCGCGGUAACACGAACCGGACAAACGUUAUUCGGAAUUAUUGGGCUUAAAGGGUGCGUAGGCGGUGCGGUAAGUGCGGUGUGAAAGCCCUCGGCUCAACCGAGGAAUUGCGCUGCAUACUGCCGUGCUGGAGGGAGACAGAGGUAAGCGGAACUGAUGGUGG
rnacentral:rRNA from 1 species